UGACGUCAAGUCCUCAUGGCCUUUAUGACCAGGGCUACACACGUACUACAAUGGCCGGUACAAAGGGCAGCGACACAGCGAUGUGAAGCGAAUCCCGAAAGCCGGUCUCAGUCCGGAUUGGAGUCUGCAACUCGACUCCAUGAAGUUGGAAUCGCUAGUAAUCGCGGAUCAGCACGCCGCGGUGAAUACGUUCCCGGGCCUU
rnacentral:rRNA from 1 species